CAGUCGAACGAAAAGACGGAAAGAGCUUGCUCUUUUCAGAAUUGAGUGGCAAACGGCUGUAAAACACGUAAACAACCUGCCUUCAGGAUGGGGACAACAGACGGAAACGACUGCUAACACCGAAUAAGUUCCAAGAGCCGCAUGGCCCAUGGAAGAAAAGGUGGCCUCUACCUGUAAGCUAUCGCCUGAAGAGGGGUUUGCGUCUGAUUAGCUGGUUGGAGGGGUAACGGCCCACCAAGGCGACGAUCAGUAGCCGGUCUGAGAGGAUGAACGGCCACACUGGAACUGAGACACGGUCCAGACUCCUACGGGAGGCAGCAGUGGGGAAUCUUCCGCAAUGGGCGAAAGCCUGACGGAGCAACGCCGCGUGAGUGAUGACGGCCUUCGGGUUGUAAAACUCUGUGAUCCGGGACGAAAAGGCAGAGUGCGAAGAACAAACUGCAUUGACGGUACCGGAAAAGCAAGCCACGGCUAACUACGUGCCAGCAGCCGCGGUAAUACGUAGGUGGCAAGCGUUGUCCGGAAUUAUUGGGCGUAAAGCGCGCGCAGGCGGCUUCCCAAGUCCCUCUUAAAAGUGCGGGGCUUAACCCCGUGAUGGGAAGGAAACUGGGAAGCUGGAGUAUCGGAGAGGAAAGUGGAAUUCCUAGUGUAGCGGUGAAAUGCGUAGAGAUUAGGAAGAACACCGGUGGCGAAGGCGACUUUCUGGACGAAAACUGACGCUGAGGCGCGAAAGCGUGGGGAGCAAACAGGAUUAGAUACCCUGGUA
rnacentral:rRNA from 1 species